rnacentral:rRNA from 1 species
GCCCGGCUGAGAAAAGUAAAGCAAAAGAGACAAAGCUAUUCCGACUCCCCCUCGAGCUCGCCCCCUCGUCUCCUACACUAAGAGGGGCAGGCACCUCUAAAGCUCUAGAGGGUGGCGGACUCGAACUAGAGAGAAGGGAAAGAGAAGCGGGGGGACACAGUGCCAACCAACAAGGAGAGAGAGAACGCGCACAAACAACAAGACGAACACAACAAGAUCUAGAUCCAGUCAAGUACAGCGGGAGAGCGGUAGAGUACGUCGGCGACCAUACACACUAAACGACCCGGAACACUAUGUGCGCGCGCACGAGGACAACAUCAAACAUCUACAUUAACAACAAAAGGAAAAGAUGCAUCUACAUUGUACGCCCUAAGACAUCCACAUCUACAUCGUACGCCCUAAGGUACCGUCUAAAGACAUCUACAUCGAUAUCCACGACCUAAAAGAUAUCUACAUCACACGCCCUAAAGAUAUCUACAAGACGAGUACAAGGACAUCCACUCCAAACAUGUCUACGGAUCGAGAAAGGACGAGUACAAGACUACGAGGACACACAUAAGGACAAGUACAUGAUUCAUGUAAAGCGGAGGACUAAACAAGAACGCCCCACAUCCACAAAUCAAGGGGAACAUGGUACAAACAAAUGAAGAACGUCCCUACCAAACUCAAAUUAAAGUCACAUUAAAAUAGAGUCGGAAACUACCAGUAAAUGAGUCAACAACACUAACCUAAACGUCACAAUAAAAUGUGACAUUAAGUAGAGUCUGAAUGUCACAUUAAAACAGGGUCUGAACGUCACAUUAGAGUCAUGACAUAAUCACAUUAAAGAAAGUCUAAAACGUCACAUUAAUUGGACUAAAAACUUGACAUUAAACACGGUCAGAAAGUCACAUUAAACAGGGUCUAAAUGUAACAUUAAACAAGGCCUAAAUGUCACAUAUAACUCACCUAUAAUGUCACAAUAAACCAACAUCAAGGUCACAUCUGAAUGUCACAUUAAAAUAGAGUCAUAACGUCACAUUAAACAGGGUCUAAAUACCACAUUAAAGAUGGUCUAAAUAUUAAAUUAAUUGGAAAAAGUCACACCAUAACUCACUUAAAAGAUACAAUAAAUUAACACUAACGUCACAUCAAGUAGGGUCGUAAUGUCUGAAGAUUAACAUUAAGUGGGUAAUUAAGAUCACCUAAAUAUCACAUUAAACUUACAUCAAAGUCACAUUAAAUGGGGUUGUAAUCUCACAUCAAAUGGGUUAUUAAGCCAACAAUAACCUAAAACUCACCAAAACAGUCACAUAAAAUCCUUCCCCUCGGAACCGCGUCACCAUUUCGACGACGGAACACUGGUACUCCAGUGCCCAAGUUCAGGACCUUUGUCGAAGAAUGUCUUUACAUCCCUUUCUGACGCAUGAUAUCUGGGUUUCACCAGCCUGGGAAGGGGCUGGGACGCGUUCGUCCUCGAUGUACGUGGCCCGACGGGAAAAAAACAGUCACAUAAAAUCGGGCAGAACGUGUGACAAACGUGUAAUUAAAAUAGAUAAAAAGUUACAUUAAUUCAGAUCAAACGAGUCAUUAUGGUAACCAAGGAUAUAUGAUAAAUCGAUCAUAAGUUACAAGGAACGAACCAAGUCAUGAUAUCCCGCCAAAAGUAAAUCGAGUGAAAUUACAGAAGAAGUAACUCCUUAAGUAGCAGAGGAACAAGUUCACUCAGAAGACCAAGAAAAGAAAGAGGAAGAGGUAAGGAAACUGGGCACGAACUCAAGCACAAUCGACGACGAGAUGACGCUAGUUGUAGAAGUCCGUGGACGUUGAAAAUCCCUAAAGAAAAUCAAUAAAAGAAGACUUUACAAUACUGAAAGAGAAUCCAAGUAGUAACAUAAAGACUUAAAACACCACACAUGUACAACGUCUAAGUACAAUAUCUUGUCCAAACACAGGGUCCCUAAUGUAAGAGGAGGGGGUAGAAGCGAACGACGGUGAAGUAAUACGUUCAAACGGAGGUUACAGACGUUUAUACUUCUUUUAAGGAAGUCUAAAACAAUUACUUUCUCCACUUCUCUCUACUACCACUCCUCAAACACAUGCUAACAGCGACUGGACAACUAAGGGGCUAGAGGGUACCGGCGGAGGGUCUAAACAAGAUCCGACAAUCCACUCUAGAAACAUCACCAACUACCGCUAACCGCACAAAACAACACGUACCCUAGCCUGUUUAGCCCAGUCUACAAAUGGGCUGGGCAAAUCUGCUGGUCCUCCAAAAAAAACGAUAGACGACUAAAAGGACGAGCGAGUGCACAUUACACAACUAACCAGUCCUUUAAACUGACAAAAGUUUAACUUUUUGUCAGUUUACAGUUUAUCUGUCAUAAAAUUCUGUAGAAAACGAACCCCUUAGGAACGAGAAAAUAUUCCCCAGACCCAUUGUGGGAAGGUGCUAGUAAUUCAUCGAACCUGGAGCCCGUCCAGCCUCCAGUGCACUCGAAAUUCGUUCUCAGGAAAAUGCCAUGUAGUUCAGAUAAUCCCAACAACUAAAAACACUAACUCCCGGAUCUAAUUGGUUAUGAUAUUGUCUAAAGAUCAUCAUAUAACUAAUUAAUCCCCGUAAAAUCCAUCAAGUGAUACAAGUAGUUAGAACAUCCGUCCAAGUGCGUACGUUAAAAGGAGGGGCGGUACCGGUUGAGAAGGAGGUUAGUAGGUUCGCAGGAGGUCCGAGGUCUGAGGUCUGAGGUCAAUUCAUAGUCAAGAUACCGAUCGUGAGCAGUAGGAUGUGCACGCUGGAGAGCAAAGUCGGUGCCGCUCGAGACGACCACCGGAGAAUUAAAACCUAUCCCACGCUCACGCUCCGAGGAACCCCCCUUGACUUGCGACCGUGGUUGUGGUAACGGACGGCACAAGUGUAUGCCACACCGGCUCCAUGCAGCUUCAACUACAGCUCGUAGGGCGGACGACCUGUACAGCCCGAGGACGAGCUCCGAACAACUGAGUGUUCAUGUCCUUUAGUGUUAUCAGAAAUUCCUAUCAUAAAAUAAGUUUAAAUAACUAAACUGUAUUCCCCUCAAUUUUAAAAAAACGCUACACAAACAACCCUAGGAUAAUUAAUACCCAAAUACUAGUCUAAUGGGUACUUAUAAUAAACUCAGAAGAGACUUUAGAAAAUACGUACUAACAAUAUCUAAACAUAAAGAGAAGUUAGAUAGACAAACACAACCGGUUGAUCUAACUAAAUAGAACGUUACCCUCUCCACGAAACACUACCCAAUCUAGAACGUUACGAGUUAGUG